AGAUGAGUUAUGGUAUUAUUGUACUGCUGGAGGGAGAGGUGAGUUAUGGUAUUAUUAUACUGAUAGAUGGAGGGAGAGGUGAGUUAUGGUAUUAUUAUACUGAUGAGGGAGAGAUGAGUUAUGGUAUUAUUAUACUGAUGAGGGAGAGGUGAGUUAUGGUAUUAUUAUACUGAUUAGGGAGAGAUGAGUUAUGGUAUUAUUGUACUGAUGAGGGAGAGAUGAGUUAUGGUAUUAUUAUACUGAUUAGGGAGAGAUGAGUUAUGGUAUUAUUGUACUGCUGGAGGGAGAGGUGAGUUAUGGUAUUAUUAUACUGAUAGAUGGAGGGAGAGGUGAGUUAUGGUAUUAUUAUACUGAUGAGGGAGAGAUGAGUUAUGGUAUUAUUAUACUGAUUAGGGAGAGAUGAGUUAUGGUAUUAUUGUACUGCUGGAGGGAGAGGUGAGUUAUGGUAUUAUUAUACUGAUGAGGGAGAGAUGAGUUAUGGUAUUAUUAUACUGAUUAGGGAGAGAUGAGUUAUGGUAUUAUUGUACUGCUGGAGGGAGAGGUGAGUUAUGGUAUUAUUAUACUGAUAGAUGGAGGGAGAGGUGAGUUAUGGUAUUAUUAUACUGAUGAGGGAGAGAUGAGUUAUGGUAUUAUUAUACUGAUGAGGGAGAGAUGAGUUAUGGUAUUAUUAUACUGAUUAGGGAGAGAUGAGUUAUGGUAUUAUUGUACUGCUGGAGGGAGAGGUGAGUUAUGGUAUUAUUAUACUGAUAGAUGGAGGGAGAGGUGAGUUAUGGUAUUAUUAUACUGAUGAGGGAGAGAUGAGUUAUGGUAUUAUUAUACUGAUUAGGGAGAGAUGAGUUAUGGU